AGAGUUUGAUCCUGGCUCAGAGCGAACGCUGGCGGCAGGCCUAACACAUGCAAGUCGAACGAACUCUUCGGAGUUAGUGGCGGACGGGUGAGUAACACGUGGGAACGUGCCUUUAGGUUCGGAAUAACUCAGGGAAACCUGUGCUAAUACCGAAUGUGCCCUUCGGGGGAAAGAUUUAUCGCCUUUAGAGCGGCCCGCGUCUGAUUAGCUAGUUGGUGAGGUAAAGGCUCACCAAGGCUACGAUCAGUAGCUGGUCUGAGAGGAUGACCAGCCACAUUGGGACUGAGACACGGCCCAAACUCCUACGGGAGGCAGCAGUGGGGAAUCUUGCGCAAUGGGCGAAAGCCUGACGCAGCCAUGCCGCGUGGAUGAUGAAGGUCUUAGGAUUGUAAAAUCCUUUCACCGGUGAAGAUAAUGACUGUAGCCGGAGAAGAAGCCCCGGCUAGCUUCGUG
rnacentral:rRNA from 1 species